UUGAUUUUCAAUCUCUUCCCCUACCCUCCCCAGGUUUGAAGAGCUACUUUUUUCCUUAGCACACGAGGAGACGCAACCGUUCAAGUCAACCUCACCUGCCUUUAGCUGCUCAGUGAAAAAUCAGUUGCUUCAGCACCGUGAGCUCUAGACAUCGGUUGGUCAAUUUAGUGGUCUCCUCAUCUGGGAAAUGGGAAAAUUACUCUGUAGCGGUUAUUUUUUCACUCGCCGGCCCUUUGUUGUUUUAAAAAUUUUCAAUUUAUGUUCUGGGUUAAUAUAAAAUUCUAAAUUUGAUAAAACGGUGAUAUUAUUCUCAUAUGUAUUAAAUUAAAAUAUUAAUCAAACAGAUCUUCUCUCUCUUCUCGAACCAAGAUCGAACACAAUAACGUGUCGUGUGAUUUCUUUUGUUUCAGAAGUUGUCUUUUCUCGCGCAGCGCUGCUGCAAUCUCACAUGGAUUUCAUCUGUGACUUGGCAACAAACAAGUACGACCCCUGUUAUCGAAAAGCAGAUAUGGAGAUGUCCACUUUUGUUAAUUCUACUUAAAAAAAGGGCACAUCUUGAGCAGAUCUGGAGCAUCGAGGGUGGAAGAUGGAAUGCCCACUUUUAUCUUUGCUGAUGCAUGUCGAGGUACUUGAAUAUGAGGUCAUGUCCAAGUGACUUUUAUGGUUCCAACUCCGGUGGAAGCCCACACAGUUACAGUACUGAAUGUCUGAGUCCACGUCCAUUAGUGUAACUCCUGGAAAAUUAAAGAAGAAAUGCACGAGCAGAAAACGGUGGCUUAAAAUCUGCUCGAGAAGACGAAGAGUGUACCAUCGUGGAGCCAAAGGAUUAUCUAGAGACACUUUCUUAGGCGUCUCUUACAGAUCAGAAGACAGCACCUAGGCCGCACUCUUGCGUUGCGUCUUCAUUCUUUUUCUUCUCUUUGCCCCAGAUUGAAACCUCUAAAAAAGUUGAAUCCAAUCCUUCUUUAUCGAAAGUGAAGACUUGGUCCCUAUAUUUGUCACUCUGGCUCUAUGAGAGGGAGGAGGAGGAGGCAAAUUGGAGAUCACAUGAACGAUCUGUAGAUGAUCAUGUACAUUUGUUUUUUAAUUUAAUUGAAAAAUUAUAGUAUUUAAGAUAGAAGCUUUUUAGUUAUUAAGUAGAAAGUAAUGAAAAUGUAAAAUGUUAUGCAUAUAUAAAAUUCAAGAUGUAAAUUAUAAUUUUUUAAAUAA